CCUGCCAUGGGCUCCAGGCUCCUCUGCUGUGUGGCUCUCUGCCUCCUGGGAGCAGUCCCCGUUGACACUGGAAUUACCCAGACGCCAAGACACCUGGUCAUGGGAAUGACAGAUAAGAAGUCUUUGAAAUGUGAACAAAAUCUGGGACACGAUGCUAUGUAUUGGUAUAAACAGAGUGCUAAGAAGCCACCGGAGCUCAUGUUUUACUACAACUAUCAGGAACUCAGAGAAAACCUGACUGUGUCGAGUCGCUUCUCUCCUGAAUGCCCUGACAGCUCUCACUUGUACCUUCACCUGGACGCCCUGCAGCCAGAUGACUCCGCCAUGUAUCUCUGCGCCAGCAGCCAAGACACAGCCUUGCAGAGUCACUGCCUCCCUGUGCACAAACCUCGGGCACAGCCAGGAAGCUGUGGGAGCCACCGAGGUCUUGGUUGA